rnacentral:rRNA from 1 species
UACGUAGGCAGCAAGCGUUGUUCGGAAUUACUGGGCGUAAAGAGUGUGUAGGCGGUGCUCUAAGUUCGGUGUGAAAUCUCCCGGCUUAACUGGGAGGGUGCGCCGGAAACUGGAGUGCUUGAGCGCGGGAGAGGAAAGCGGAAUUCCUGGUGUAGCGGUGAAAUGCGUAGAUAUCAGGAGGAACACCUGUGGUGUAGACGCUUUCUGGACCGUAGCUGACGCUGAGACACGAAAGCGUGGGUAGCAAACAGG